rnacentral:rRNA from 1 species
AUGAGUUCCUUGCCCUGUGGAUGCAAGUCACGGACAUUCAUCUUGACUGAGAUGCCACAGACUCAAUCUCCCGGUCUUGGGAAACUAGUGGUGACUUCUCUACCAAGACAACAUACAUGGCGAAGUUUUGGAGAAGACAAGUGUUGCCCAGGCCUGCCUUCACUUCGAAAGCAAGGGCCCCGUUGCAGUGCCAUUUUUUUUGCAUGGCUUGCACUUCUAACAGAUGUUGGACUUCCGACCGCCUGGCAUGCCGUGGCUUGGAUCAUCAGGAGAGUUGCCCUUUCUAUGCAUGGGAGAGGAGAAAACAAUCGAACACAUACUGCUUUAAUGUGUCAUCGCAAGGGAGGCGUGGACCAUCAUAUGUCGAGCUCUAGGCAAAAUGGAUUGGGUACCAGAGAUAGGAUCAAAGUUGGUGGAUUGAUGCACAAACAAGCUUAG